rnacentral:rRNA from 1 species
GACGAACGCUGGCGGCGUGGAUUAGGCAUGCAAGUCGAACGGUAUCAUCCUUUCGGGGGUGAGAGAGUGGCGAACUGGUGAGUAACACGUAGGUUAUCUACCCUCAAGACGGGGACAACCCAAGGAAACUUGGGCUAAUACCGGAUGUGAGCAACUUUUAGUUGUUUGAAAGGUGGCGUAAGCUGUCGCUUGGGGAUGAGCCUGCGUCCUAUUAGUUAGUUGGUGAGGUAACGGCUCACCUAGGCAAUGAUAGGUAGGCGGCCUUAACGGGUGGUCGCCCACACUGGGAUUGAGAUACGGCCCAGACUCCUACGGGAGGCAGCAGUCGAGAAUAGUCUACAAUGGUCGGAAGACUGAUAGUGCGACGCCGCGUGAACGAUGAAUCCCUUCGGGGUGUAAAGUUCUUUUAUAUGUGAGCAGUGCUUCUUAUAUUAACAGUAUGGGGAGAGAGAUAUUAGCAUAUGAAUAAGCAACGGCUAACUCCGUGCCAGCAGCCGCGGU